CUCAUGGACCAAAUUCCAUGAACCAUAUAUCAAACCUCAUGAACCAAAUCCCAUGAACCAAUAUCAAACCUCAUGGAUGAAUCAUAUAUAAAACCUCAUGGACCAAAUUCCGUGAAUCAUAUACUAAACCUCAUGGACCAAAUCCCAUAAAUCAUAUACCAAACAUCAUGGACCAAAUCCCAUGAACCAUAUAUCAAACCCCAUGGACCAAAUCGCAUGAACCAUAUACCAAACCUCAUAAACCAUACACCACAUCCUAUGAACCAAAUCUCAUACACCACAUCCCAUGAACCGAAUCUUAUACAUCCUAUACACCAAACCUCAAUGAAUCAAUACCCAAAUAUCAUGAAUCAAUACCCAAAUAUCAUGAACCAACACCCAUAUCUCAAGAACCAAUACCCAAAUCUCAUGCCCAAAGUUCAUCAUGAACCUCUUUUUGCUCUAGCUCAUAUACCUAGAGUGAAAAUUAAAUAUCGACUACCCCUCAUACAUAUACUUAGGGCUAAGUCAAUUGCCUUAGCACAUAUAACUAAGGCAAAACAUCUCCAACUCGACCGAGUUCUAAAUUAUAUACUUAGAAUUCAGUCAAAUGAUAUUCGAACUCUAACACAUAUACUUAGAGUUCAUCCGACUAACCCUAAUACAUACUCUUAGGGUCUAGUCAACCUUUUACUCUAGCACAUAUACCUAGAGUGAAAAUCAAACCAAGCUCGACUAAUCCUAACCCAUAUACUUAGGGUCUAGUCAGCCUUUUGCUCUAGCGCACCUACCUAGAGUGAAAUCCAUACCCGAUCGAGCUCUAAUACAUAUACUUAGAGCUCAAAUCCGACGAAGCCUAACAUAAUACCUCAGAGCUUAGUCAGAUCCUCACUCUAGCACAUACAACUAGA
rnacentral:lncRNA from 1 species